ACGGAGGCAGCCAGACAGAGGGGGGAAGGGCAAGGGGGGGAAGGCGUUUCUGCUGACGCGUCGCUGCUAUCAAUAUCUAUUCAUCUUGAAAUUGAGCUGAGUGCAAUUUAAGAGAUUGCCACUGGGCGCUCAUUACCCUCGCUAAGCGCCUGCCGCGCCUUAGGGCUACAGGACUGUGCCAAGGGACCACGGGACCGCUGCGCCUUGGGUCCGCACGACCACACCAUGGGACCAAGACCACCGUACCUUGGGACUACGCGAUUGUCGGACUGCCCCGUCUUGGACUACGGGACUGCACCAUGGGACCACGGGACUGCUGUGCCUUGGGACUACCGGACUGCUGAACCUCAGCGCCUUGGGACCGCGGGACCACACCAUGGGACCUUGGGACCGCCGUGUCUUAGGACUACGGGCCCGCACCAUGGGACUACGGGAUACCGAGAUCGCCAGGUCUUGCGACCACAUCAUGGGGCUGCGGCGCCUUGCGACCACGGGAGUGCCGCAUAAUCAGAUCAUGGGGCCGGACCAAGGGACUGCUGCGCUGUGGGACCGCGGUGCGCAGUGACAAUCCCCGCGGUGCCCGCCAGAGCCUGGGGACCGCCCAAGGGUACCGACCUGGCUCAGGCAGGGCGGUCAAUUUGAAGCCAGGUGUCCGUGCCCGAAGCAUUCAUGCGUUCUUUUGCACCACUGCCGGCAAAAAAACAUUUGAAACAGAAGCUCAAAGCCACUGUUUGGGUUUUACACCACAGUCUACGGGUUCUCAUACUGGAUUUGCAUAAAAGAUAAAAGCGUUACCUCAAGAUCCGCCUCCACAUUCUUUAUAAACACGCUCCGCGACAACACCUGGGCAGGGACCCUGCUCCCUCGCUCAACCCGACUCGUGGGGUCUCCUUCUCCAGCCCCUGGCAGGGCACAGGGCUGAACCACUUCGCGAGGUGGCCAAGACGCCCCUCCGUUUCCGUGCAACCUUUCCUGCAAGCACGAGCCAGGGCCUCGAUUCCGAGAACGCUCCCUACGUGUCCACGCCCCGACAGGGGGGAGAGCUGUCUGCGCGCACCGACUGGCAGACGGACCGACGGACCGACGCAGGGGCGCGGUCUAGCGGCGACGCGCGUGAAAGCCACACGUUUUAUCCAGACCCGCGGCCGCCACACCGCGGCCGCCACCCAGACCAGCCCUUCUUUAGCGGAAAGAAACACAAUCUCGAGAGCGCACCACCCCCAGGAAGGCCAGGAUCCAUCUGACAUCAGCAAUGAUAUCCCUUGUUCCUUGUCUUCUUCUGAAUCCGGCUUGAAUUUCUGGCAGUGCCCUGUAGAUGUACUGCUGCAACCAUUUUUGAAUGAUCUUCAGCAAAAUUUUACUUGCAUGUGACACUAAUGAUAUUCUACAGGCAAAAAAGUUGAAUGAUACGGGAAGCAGCAAAAGAAGACAGAAGCAGUACACAAAGUCUCUCUUCCAAAAGGAACUGGUCAACGUUCAACCACUUCAGGAGGUAGCAUAUGAUUGAGAACCGAUAGUACUGAAGAAAGAAAUCCGAGCUGCACUGAAGGCACUGGUGAAAAACAAGGCUCCAGAAAUUGACAGAAUACCAAUUCAGAUGUUUCAACAAAUGGAUGCAGCACUGGAACUGCUCACCCAUCUAUUUAUGCCAAGAAAUUUGGAAAACAGCUACCUGGCCAUUCAAGUGGAAGAGAUCCAUAUCCGUGCCCAUUCCAAAGAAAGGUGAUCCAACAAAAUGUGGAAAUUAUCCAACAAUAUCCAUAAAGAUUACAGCCAAGGAAACCCAAUGAAGCAGUUCUACUCUGUGACAUAUGGGAUCGCUAUGAGUCGAAAUAUGUCAACGGCAACAGCCUCACCCUCUGGGAGUGCCCAGCCCCUGUGCUGUGGCCACGCACCAGGCACACUCACACUGAGGAAGCAACACACAGAGCGGCCACGUAAACCAAACAUCAAAACCAACCGACCAGUUGUCCAGUCGACUCCGACCCAUGGCGACCCCGUGAGUGGCAGAGCAGAACUGUGCUCCAUAGGGUUUUCACUGGCUGAUUUUUCAGAAGUAGAUCGUCAGGCCCUUCUUCCGAGGCACCUCAGGGUAUACUCGAACCUCCAACCUUUCCGUUAGCAGGUGAGCGUGUAACCAUCUGCACCACCCAGGGACUUCUUAGUAGUAGUACACUGGUGUGAGGGCAGGUGAGCACAGAGGGCCGCGGAGGGAGGAAGCCCAGAGUCACUGGGUGAAAUUGUACCCGAGCGUCAUGCUCCAGGGGUGAGGGUUUCUGCUAUAAAUAGUUGGCAACCUUUGAGACUUUCCAAGUGGGCGAGUGUGACAACGUUCUUAAACUCGACCAGAGCAGGGCUGACUCGGUGCCCCCCCCCCGCCGCCAUCACCUCCAACCCCGCCACCUCCUGCUCUGCCCUCCCACCUCGGCUCCUCCACUAAGGUGGCCAAGGCCCUCUUUCUGGAAUGUUCCAUCUCCAGGCAGCCAUCCCUAACUGCUCUAUCGGCAGGCACCGUGCACCAAAUGCACUUCACGUUUUACUUUCUCUGCUCAUCCACCUCCUCCCUCCAGACUGCAAGCUCCCUGGGGCAGGUGUGACAUGUUGCUCACUGCCAUUUCUGCAGCACCUGGACCCGGGCCAGCAUCGAGCAGAUGCUCAAUACAUCGGAUGAGUGCAGUAAAGAAUGAGUGAGUAAGUGAAUGAAUGAAUGAAUGAGGGCAGAGAGGACACGGGGAUAGGGCACUGCACUAACCCUGCACAGGGCAAGAGUUCUCUGCCCCGUCUCAGGGCAGGGCUGUGGGAAGACAGCGCCACACUUCACUAGCAACCGUCCAACCGUGGACUGCCUACAGACUGAGAAUCAGCUAGAACACCCCCUCUAUGUGGGCGGAGCAGGUCAGAGCCUACUAGGAAAGCACGUGGAAACCACUCCACAAAUGCAGCCUGUGCUGGGGCUCCCCUAGCACACUCCCUAACAUACCCUGAGGGGAAGCAGGGGGUACACUUUACACUUUGUGUUUAAGUACAGUGGAAACGGGGAACAAGCCAGAUCAGUGGGCGGGCGGAGGUGUUUGUCUUUUUCUAUACUUCACAAAAAUGCUUAAAAGUGCGUUGCGGAUGUGAGCAGGGAGUGGAAGACACAGACCACUAACCUCUCUUAGGAGUUCCUGAGUGGUGCAAAAGGUUAACACACUUGGCUGCUGACAGAAAGGUUGGAGGUUCAAGUCCACCCAGAGGUGCCUUGGUAGAAAGGCGUGGUGACCUACGUCUGAAGAAUCCGCCAUUGAAAACCUUAUGCAGCACAGUUCUACUAUGAUACACGUCUGGUUGCCUUGAGUUGGGGUCCACUCGGAGGCACUGGGGUUUUUUUUCAUGGUUUUCUUGAGGAAAAGCGCGCAUUCGAUUGCUGAGCUGCGACCUGAACUAUCCCCUUUUCUGCAGAAGGACAGAGUUGGGUAUCUACAGAAAUUUUCUCAAAACCAAACCAAGGGUGUUAAUUGAAAAAAACCGGUAGCAUUUGUUUUGUUGAUAAAAUUCAUGCCUUAAUCGUGGAAAACUCACAACGCCCACCAUGAGCUGAAAGUUACCCAAUACACGAAGACCCUUGUGAUAAGACCAAUGGUGGUGCUAAUGAAUGUGACGCUCUGAUGUUGCAUAAUGAAAUCUGUCAGUGUUUGCAAGAUCUGCGUAACGCAGUAAACCAGAAUUUUUCAAAUGGCUGAUGCAUGAUGCUACAGCAUCACGCGUGGGUAAAAAUCCAUUCAAACUACCACUGAGGGUGGUUUCACAUUCUACAUUGCAACUAGCUUUUCAGAAGCUAUUACUUGUUGAGUUUUGGUGUAUUAUCAAAGAAUAUCCAUCCUGGUCUGAAAUGGCUACUAAAAUAAUCCUCCCUUGCAACUGUGUAUCUGUGUGAGGUCAGAUUUGUUUUCUUAUACUGCAACCAAAACAACAUAUCCCAGCAGAGUGACUGCAGACGCCAAACAUUGAAGAGAUUUACGAACUGUCAGAUAGUGUCACUCUUCUCAUUAUGUUUUUAGUUUUAGAAAAACAUUUAUUUUUCAUAAAAAACAGUAUGUUCAUAUGAGUUUGUUAUUUCCAUUUUUAUAUUAAUGUUUAGUGCAGUAAAUGUUGAUAGGUAUAACCCAUAUAAACAAAAGCUCUUUGGGGCUCUCGAUAAAUUUAAGAACGUAAAGAGGUCCUAACACAAAAAUGCUCAAGAACAUGUUGUGGGCGUGGAUUGCCACCAAAGAGUGUCUUCUUCAAGCCCGGCCUCAGGUUUUUCCAGGAGUAAGGAUAAUACCAAGGAGUCCAGGUGGCACGACGGUUAAGUGCUCGAUUGCUAAUUGAAGGGUUGGUAGUUUGAACCCACAUAGAGGUUCCAUGGGAGAAAAGACCUAGCAAUCUGCUUCUGUAAAGGUUACAGCCAAGAAAACCCUAUGGGGCAGUUCUACUCUGUCACGUGGGGUCGCGAUGAGUCAGAAUCAGUUCCGUGGCACUCAGCAACAACAAGGUUAACAUCAGCAGACGUCAGUGUUACAGUAAGGACUAAUUAUCAAACCACUGCAGAGAUUCCUGAUCUCGUUUCCAGCAGAUUGGAACAGCGACAACACGGAUUAGCUGACAGAGCACUAAUUUUAUCUGACCCAACCGAGGCAACGAAGCUCUCUGACCACUGUCCUGGCGCUGAUUUGAGCAAACCAGACGAAAGCUUUAGGCAAUCAAAACCAGGAAACAAGAUGUACUCACCUCUGAUGGCUGGCUGUUAUGGAUUGUAUUGUGUUUCCUCAAAAUGUGUGUCAACUUGGCUGGGCCAUGAUUUCCGGUGUGUGUCUGUCCGCCAUCUUGUCAUCCGCUGUGAUCAUCCUACGUGUUGUAAAUCCUACCUCCAUGAUGCUAACGAGGCAGUUUGUUAAGGAGGCAGGACUCAAUCUACAGGAUUAGGUUGUAUCUGGAAUCAGUCUCUUUUAAAAUAUGAAAGAGAGAAGGAAGAAGAAAGGAGAAGGACCUCCAACCACCAAGAAAGAAGCACUGGGAGCAGAGUGCAUCCUUUGGACCCAGGGUCCCUAUGCUGAGAAACUCCUAAACCAGGGCAAGAUUGAUGACAAGGACCUUCCUCCAGAGCUGAGAGAGAGAGAAAGCCUCCCCCUGGAGCUAGCGCCCUAAAUGUGGACUUCUAGCCUCCCAGACUGCAAGAGAAUAAACUUCUGUUUGUUAAGGCCACCCACUUGUGGUAUUUGUCACAGCAGCACUAGAUGACUAAGUCAGAAUUCUAAGACACUGGCAUACUAUCGACGGAGAAAGGGAGAAGAAGGAAAAGGAAUACAGUCGUCCCUCGGAUUGGUUUCGGGACCCCCGCAGAUACCAAAGUCCGCGGAUGUGUACGUCCCUCAUGUAAAAUGGCAUAGUAUAUGCAGUCCUCCGCACAUAAAUCAUCUCUAGAUGACUUACAAUACCUGAUACAACGUAACUGCUAUGCAAAUGGCAGAACAAAGGGUGCCCACACCACCAGCAGCCAACGAACCAGAGCCAGGGAGACACCGAGGACCUGUGAGAUGUGGGGAAGCUACAGCAGGGCGUGUUACACACCACUGCAUUUGAGUACAUUCGGCGUAGUGCUCGGAGCACCGCGGAGUCAAGCGUGGCUUUUUAGAACUCUUGUUCCCCCUCCCGCCCUCGCCCAGAACUUUCGAUCCGCGGUUGGUUGGAUCUCAAGAUGUGGAAUCUGUGGGUACGGCGGGCCGACUGCACUGUACUGGACAGUCCACACACUCCAGGAAACUGCCAUGCAAACAAGGUGCAAAGACACACACAGAAACAGCAACAGAACAGAGUUAAUCAUUAGUGAAUGUGGAAGUACUCUAGGCCAGUUCCAAGUAACUGAAAUGAUCCACGAUAGGACUGAAAGUUUUUAAUUAACUUACAAAUGUCUUUGGAUUAACCCAGUUAUCAUCCUCCACAUAUAAACAAGCCUGCAAUGAGAGGAAGGUGGGUACCCGUGGUCCACAUAAGCAUGGCGCUUUAAUUUAGAAUCUUACAGUGUAGGGGCCGGUGCACAUUUCCUGGACUGUUUUUUUGGGAGGUUCGGCAAAAUCAUCCCGUGUCAGCUCCAAGUUCAUCCAGUUACUUCAACUUAAACGACUAUUUAUCAAGUGCUCAACUCAAAGUCGGCAAACAUCAUUCACUUCAAAAUACAUAAAAUUUCACCAGGGAAAAGAGCUGAGCAAACAGGUGCUCUGCCGCUUUGAGUGAGCAAACAGCUGUCUCUACCUGGCUGCUAAGCUGAGGAUUUAAGGGCCAAUAACCGCUCGUUUCCAGUCUCGGAAUCCUUAUCGUAUGACCCCAGAAAGAUCCAAAGGAAAUCAUCCUCUGAAGAUGCGGUGCCCUCGCCACUUCUGGAAAUACCACAGUUUGCUUUUUUCCCCCCUCUUUUUCCCCUUUGUUUAAGUUGAACUUCAAAACAAAACAACCUGUCACUGAAUUUAAGCCCCACCACUGCCAGGCUCUACGGAGUCCUGGUGGCUUAAAUGGUCAAGCACUUGCCGCUAACUGAAAGGGUGCCAGUCUGAACCACCAGCUGCUCUGUGGAAGAAAGACCUGGCAAUCUCCCCCCCCCCGCAAAGAUUACAGCCUAGGAAGCCCUGUGGGGCAGUUCACCUCUGCCGCGUGGGGUCCCUCUGAGUUGGAAAAGACUUGAGGGCACCUAACCACCACCGACAUGACCAUGUAAUGGGGCAACAGUGAUGCCCUUUGAUUUUACAGCCUAAGGGGUGAAGGUCAGUGUACAAACCAAGGUGGCACCAUAGAGCAGAGGGUGACUGGGCACCCCAAACAACAAUGGCAUGUCCACCUUCAACCUUGGUUCCAUGGCCCCUUCCCAGAUUGCAGCCCUUUUUAUCCUGAUGUAAAAGAGAAAAAAUGACAUAGGAACUCAGGAGCGGGCUUUUAAAAAACCCUUUCAUCCUGCAGCGUGACAGGCUCCUCUUUACAUACGGCCUUUCUGGCUCUGGGUUUGUAGUUCUGCCAAGAUGAUGUGCUAGGCCACAAUCUUGCAAAAGGACUGGUUAGUCUACUAUGCAAAUAAGGUAUAUAAAAUCCUUGCAGGGAUUGGACAGUUUAUUAUGCAAAUAAGAUCAUAAAACUCUUGUGGGGAUUGGUCAGUUACUUUGCAAAUUAAGCGACUAUGGUCUACCAAAGGGACUGGUCAGUUUUCCCAUCCUGCUAGGCUUGUAAAGGCUAGUCCCACUGAGGGGGACCUCACUACCAUCUAGAAGAAAAACCUGGAGCAGAGUGUGUCCUUUGGACCUGGGGUCCCUGUGCUGUGAACCCCCUAGACUUAGGGGAGAGAGAGCUGUAACACUGGAGACGGCGGGAACAGCAGCACAAGCAGCUGCAGUGUGAGACAGUGGGAACCAGGAGACCUGGGUAAGAUAGCUUGUGUGGUUCCUGACCCUUGGAGUGAGAGAACUGAGCACCCUGGGGCAGGAGGCUUCUUGGCGGGGUGGAGUGCCUCUGAGCACUUGCCUGCGGACAAAGAGCUGUACCACUUGCUUGAGCAGGGCAGAAGCUGGGCGGAGUAGGGAGGAGGGGGGCGGCGGCAGGGAGUGAGCAUAGCCCACGGGUGAGCACAGCCCACUGGUGAGUACAUCACUCAUUCUAUAACCCAGUCUGUCACCGGGCUUCAUAAAAGCAUAUGAGAGUGACAUCAGUUUGUAAGAGGAGCGGCUUAAGAAAAUUCAAAAAUUCCCCAAAAGUGUUAUGAGUUUUGUAGUAGUAACAACCCCCCCCAACCCCCGGAAAUACACCCAGAAAGUCACAGCCUAAAACAGGCUAGAAAUGCAGUGUUAAACUUUUAAAAAUAUUAAAAAAACAAAACUCAAGUCAGUACCAUUUAUUCAAGAUAGCAUUAAAAACACUGCUGAACUGAUUAUUGUUUUUUAAAAUAAACAUGGUCUUUGAACCGGUUCUUUCCAGUUCAGUCAUGGCCAAGGAAGCAAAACUGGAAUAGACCCGAAUUAUUAAAAAUUGAGUGAAACAGAACAGGAGAUAUUACAAAUUAAAGCCCUGCUGGAAACCUAAUCACCCUCUUAGAAAACAAGGGCAGCGUAAGCGUUGCAUAGCAACCAAAUCUCAGGCCCUUCAGGUUUUGAGCAAAGUGGGAAACAGCAGGUCCUGGCUCAAAGAUGGCGGCCCAGCACACCGCUCUGAAUGUGCGUCACUCUCCCCAGUUCUGCCAGUGAUCCAACCUCACACAUCAGGCUCCUGAAAGAGUCACUAUGUCGCCUCUGAGCCUACUUUCCAGGUUUUCGACCUGUAAUUUUCCCUGUUCUCAGCACCCAAAUUGUAAAAAUUCGGGUCUGUUCUGGUGUUGCUUUGUCUGCCAUGACUGAACCAGUUUGAAGUCCUGAAAGAAACACUGGAAAAGCCAACCCCACUGAGUUCCCAGUCAAUUUUUUUUAAUUGUGCUUUAGGCAAAAGUUUACAGUGCAAAUUAGCUUCUCAUUAAACAAUACACAGAUUGUAUUGUGACACUGGUUGCCAACACGGCAACGUGUCAACACUCUCCCCUUCUCCACCUCGAGUUCCCUGUUUCCAUUUGUCCGGGUUUCCUGUCCCUUCCUGCUUUCUCGUCUUUGCCUCAGUCAAUUUUUUCCCUUUGAUUCCUUAACAAAGUGUGCUCUAUCUCAAAGCGUCCUCUUUACAGGCCCUGCACCUGUGCACAAUUACAACAAAGCAAUGACAACCACUCUCCUCGUGUGGACGCUGCCCUGAGUUCACUGCCCUGUCCUGACCCGGCCUGUGGCUUUGGCAGCCGACAGGCUUAUCCCUGGAGUCACCCUAGAUCCUGGAGGUGGCUGCCCUGGUUCAAAUUGGGGACUCGGCCCUCACUGCUUUGUGACCUGAGCUGCUCUGUGCCCCAGUCUCCUCACUUCUAAAAUGAGGACAAGGACAGUACCCGCUGCCCAAGGUCAUUGUGACAAGCCAGUUAACCCAGACACAGCACCUACAGUGCGAGUCCCUGGGUGCUGCAAAUGGUCGACACACUGGACUGGCAGCCCAAAGGUUGGAAGUUCAAGCCCACCCAGAAGCGCUUCCGAAGAAAAGCCUGGCAAUCUACUUCUGAGAAAUCAGCCGCUGAAAACUCUGUGGAGGACGGCUCUGCUCUGACGCACGUGGGGUCACUCAGCUCGAUGGCGACUGGUCUGGAUGCAUCCGCAGUAAACAGGACGUCCACGCUGGCUGUUACGUUGCUCAAGUCAGGAGACCGUAUCUGUUUGGCACUCCCUGACUCCCAAGCAGUCUUCGCUUUGUAGCUGAAACCAUUUCCCGAGCCUCUGUCACCUGUGCAGCUUCUGAUCAUACACAAACCCACAAAGCACUGCCACUCACCACCUUCUGUGUGUUUGUAAAUCGGGCAAUUAUCCUGCCAACGGCACUGUCUUCUAAUUUUUAAGGCUAAAGGUAUUAAUUGGACAAGCACGAGCACUCAGAAGAUGCCGCUUUUAAAAUAAAAUGAACGACGAUGUAACAAUGUGGUUGGCAGCAGCAGUCAUUCCUAGGGCUUCAGGAUUCCGGUUCUGAUGGCCCAGAAGCAGCCAACAGGCACCUGCCACUACCUGCCCAGGCUUGCUUUCAUCUUCCAGAUCCCAAAUGGGCCUCGAGGCAGCCGGUCUCGUCCACACCAGCCGCAGCGGAAUUCUGCACACACACACCCCACAGCUUUCACGACACUAAAAAUCACCCUCUGAAGCGUGGCCGCCUCAUUAACACAGAGCCAGGGAAUCCCAAUGGAGUGAGGCUGCGAUAGUACCUACCCUACGACGAGGUUUUAGGGGCAGGAUAAAAGGGUACCGCAUCAGGUGAGUGACAGGAGCUGCCCUGAGCUACGACAUGUUAUUAGGGGAUAAAUACAGGUUUGAUGAAUUUUUACCACACAGCGUUUUUCUGAAACAACUGGACAAAUCCUACAUUUUGUUUCAAGCUCUGCGCGCUUUCCCACACAGUGAGAUUUCCCCUGUGCUCACGGAUCCCCUGGCUGGUGUCUGUUUUGAAUUAAAACGCACCACUGAGUUAGGCACUGAUGUGGCUGCUUUGUCUCUUCUGGGAUUUUGUUUAGAAAACAGUUUCGACAGAGUCCUUCCCAGCAGACAACCUGGACUGAAUUCUGAAUUCCAGCAAAGUCACUGAGAAGAACAGGGAUAUCUGUUCCCAUUCAAAGAAAGGUGUUUGAUGAAAAACACACGCCUGCAUCAUGCAUCUACGUGAACUUGGCUGGAAUCUCGGGGUGGGGGUGGGGGGAUGUCUGGCUCGAGUGUGCAAGUCUACAGAAAGGCGGUCCAGCCUCAGUGAGCGAGCGUCCUUGGAAGCUGAUGGAAAACCCCGUGGACUGACGGGCGUCCUGUCACGUAGGCAUGCUCAGGGGUCAGUUUGGGGGUGAUGUAGGGUUUGCACUGAGUGAUCCGCAAACUUGCCCGGACACCACCUGUAAGCAAGUCAUGCGUGGCUUCUCUGCCCCAGGAACCCCACAGCCUCCUCAGCCCCCAGCUGGCCUGCUCGUCCCAGUCAACACAUGUAAAAAUUAAGCUCUAAGCGUAAUUCUCAAAUUCCUGCAUGAACGGUACACACAUUCCUCACGGGAGCGGUGAGCCUCUCCACCCUCCGAGACACUUGCAUGCUGGGCGCCCGGCAGACUUCCCAUCUACUGACUCUUUUUACCUUCACGAUGAUACUUUGUUAUUUGGCUAUUAUAUAAUUAAUACAACCAAACAUGACCACCGACAGCAUAUAAUCACAAUGAAUAGUUACAAUCACUCAUUUGUUACAAGUGACUACAGAAAAGUCCUCUGACGACGUGACGAGACCACAGCCAGCAGCUCACUGGAGUGCUCUGCGGGUGGAACGCACCAGCCGCUCCGCAGGAGGACAUGGCUGUCUGCUUCCGUAAAGAUUACAGCCUUGGAAACCCUAUGGGACAGUUGUACUAUAUCCUAGAGGGUCGCUACAAGUUGGAAUCGAUUUGACAGCAACUGGUUAUAUAGGUGGUUUCAGGAGUCCCUCGUGGCGCAAACAGUUAAGUGGUCAAUUACUGGCUGAGAGAUUGGCAGUUCAAACCCACCCAGAGGCGUCUGGGAAGAAAGGCCUGGAGAUUGCUUCCGAACAGACACAGCCUUGAACACCCUAUGGAGCCAUACACAUGGGGUCGCUAUGAGUCGGAAUUGACAGAUGGUUUCUAGGUGAGAUAUGCACGUUGUGAAACUACCAGAGAAAGCAACAAAAAGCAAAGACAGAGUAAGCUACUGCAGCUGCUUCCCCACUUCAUUAAAUAAAGUCACCAUCCAUGUCUACUUAUAAGCAACGUGUAGCUCAGCAAAUGGUCCUCGAGGGCAGCCAUCCCCUCUGGUCAGCUACCAUGUUACAUGUUACAAUGCUGGGCCUGGUCACCCAACCAGGGCUAGAGACUCCUGGAGGGCAGGAACCAAACACAGGCCAAACUCUUCACGGCUGCCGGCCCACUGGGCCCACCGCGUCUGUGGUGACACCCACUUGGCAGGUCAGUGUUAGUCACGGCUGGGCCAGGCACUCUCCUGUCCUCAAUAUACGUGUCCACUCUGGAUCUCAUCCAUGCCUACAGCUUCAGCUUCCAGUCAUACCAGGAAACCCACUUAUAAGUGUCCAACUCUCUCCUCGCACAGCUCCAGACCCAUACAUUCCAACCACUCACGAGCCGUCUCUACUGGGAUGUUUCCAAGGCAUCGCGUGACAGCCACCCUGGAGGUUUCUGGCAAAAACAGAACAAAAAUCAACCCUCUAACUGGCCAAAUCUGUACAGCUAACUAAGAAUUCACAAGACAUGCCAGAACAGGAGAACACGUUAAGCAUCACCGCCGAGAUGAGCUCAGCAGCUUUGUCGGUGAAUUCUACGAGGAAAAAAAAGAAUAACCAUCAGGAAUCUACAGAUUAAGAGGCAGAGCAGCCAACUACAAUGUGUAAACUUUAUUUUGAUCCUGAUUCAAAACAAAAUUAUGGCAUUUGAGACCACUGGAAAUUUGAACAUGUUGGAUACAUGAUGAUAUUGAGAAAUUCUUGCUUUAUUUUAGGCCUGAUAAUGAUAUUGUGGUCAUGUUUUUAAAGACAGUGCUUAUCUUUUUAGAGAUAAAUUUAAAAUACUCACAAACAUAUAAAAAGACCAACAAACCUGCAGGAAAGCUGUGAGUGGAAACUAGCACUACCAGACGUUAAAACACUGCGACAAUAAUGAAAACAGGGUGGUACUGUGCAGGAGCAGACAAACUGUCCCGUAGAAAAGACCAGAAGCGCAGGAAUGGAUACGUGGAAAUUUAGUAUAUGAUAAAAGUGGCAGCUCAAAUCACCAGGGCAAAGGUGGGCUUUUUAAUAAAUGGUACAGGGAAAAUGGGCAGCCACUUAGGAAAACCACACCUCUCACCAAAUCCAAAAAUAGAUUCCAAAUGGAUUGGGGAUCUAAUUGUAAUAGAUGAAACCAUACAAGUACUAGAAAAAAACAUGAAGGAAUUCCUCUUUAACCCAGAGUAGGGAAAAGCUUUCUAACUAUGACUGAAAAGCCAGAGGCAAUAAAAGACUGAUAAAUUUGACUACAUAAAAAUAAAAAAAAAAUUUUUUUACAUGGCUAAACACACCAUAAACAAAGUCAAAGACAAGUGAAAGCUGGGAGAAAAUUUCUGCAACAGACACCACAGAUAAAGGCUAAAACCCCUAAUAUAUACGGGGCUCUUAAAAACUGAGGAAUAAAAAACGAAAGACCAGAUUUAAAAAAUGGAGAAAAACACAUAAACAGACAACGCACACACACACAAAUGCAUCUAAAACCAGCCGUUAGCCACAUGAACACCAUCCGACCGCACUCGUAACUGGAACAAUGCAGGUGGAGACAACACUGACAUGUUGUCAUCAUGUUCCCAUCAGGCUGGCGAAAAUUCUCAAGUAUGACGAGACUGCUGGCAAGGUGUGAGGGGGCAGGCCCACAGGUGGGAAUGCAAACUGGAGCGACCCAGGGAUUGGCAAAAAGCACACAUGCUCACCUUUGUCCCAGCCUUCCUGCCUACAGGAGUCUAGCCUGAAGAUGCAGCUCAACAAAUAUGAAAAUACAAAUGCACAGUGCUAUUUAUUGCUACAUUGUUUGUAACUGCAAAAUACUGGGGGGGGGGGGGCCUAAAUGCCCAUACAUGGGAGAGAGGCUGAAAAUACUACGAUAGACACGCACACAAUGGAGGGCCGGGUCACUACAGAAAGAGGAAAGCCAUCAGACAAAUUCCGAUAGAGGUGCAGCCUACAAAAUACCUGACCAGGGCUCCUCAAAACUGGCGGGGCAUCAAAACCAAGAAAAGGCUGGGCAACUGUCAGAGCCAGAGAAGCCUAAGGAGACGUGGCAACUAAGUGCAGCAUGGCAUCCUGGGUGGGGUCCUGGGACAGAAAAAGGGCAUUGGGUUUAAAAAAAAAAACUACAGAAAUCUGAAAGAACUAUGGACUUUAGUGAAUAACAAUGUAGCAAUAUUUGCUCAUUAACUGUAAUCACAGACAAAGGGCUGGAAUUCCCGGAGUGUGAAGAUAUACCAUACUACAAUAACACCUGUGAAAGCCAGAACCUGGGGGAGCCGGAAACCUGUCAGAGAGGAAAAAUCCAAAUAUUUUCCACUAAAACAAGUGACAGAAAAGUGGUGACUGCACCCUGUCAAAGGUGAAAAACCUGCAAGACCCAGAAAAACAAAGGCCAAGUUCCAGCUCUCACAGGUUGCACCGUCUAAGGUAGGAUGUUAAUGAUGAGAAACUACUAUGGGGUGAGGGGGAUGUAUGAACUCAAUUUUUAAAAUCUAAACCUGCUCUAAAAAAAUGAAGUUGACUUAAAAAAUGAGGAAAAAUCACUUGGAACUGAUAUGGGGUGAUUUUCAGGAAAUGCUAUUAAGUGAAAAAAGCAAAGCACAAAAGAAUAUAGUAGACUGCCUUCCCUUCCUCAAAGAAAGAGGAAGAUACAAGAAAAGUAUACAAGCAUCUGCUCAGCUGUGCAAAAGACAUACAGAAAAAAUGGACUAAAAGCUAAUGAUAUUGGCUCCUAUGGGAUGGAGGUGGGGUAAGGUGGGGUGGGGGCAGGUGAGGGGAGAGAAAGGAGGUGAGAUCCGGGUAGGAGGGAUGAGAGGAGCUAGCCUUCCCAAAGUAGACUUUUCUUACAUAGCUCCGAAUCUUAGAACCAUGGCAAUGUCUCACGUAAAUAAUUAAAAAGCUAAAUAAUUAAAAUCAACCAGGACUGGGGGAGGGGACCCAAAGCGGAAUACAAACAGUAAGAGACCAAACGGUAAGAGACGAACCCACCAGUGCCGGCUUCUCAAUGAGGAACACAGCCACACGGAAGGGAUGGAAGACAAAAGGAAUAAGGAAGAACUCUGGAAAGUGGGUGCUCGCUCUGUACACUCUCAGGCUCCAGACAGGAACCAAGGAAGCCUGUUCUAGUUAGUAAGCUUGCUUCUCGCAGGGCUAGCAAUUCUGAAAGCACGGUAUGUGUAUACUGGGCUUGACAAAGACAUAAAUAUACUGUGGCUAAUGAGAGCCCACUUGCUCGCUAUCUGAUAAGGAAGUUUUGAGCAAGGAUAGGGGAAGGCCAGAAUAAACCCUGUCGUGUUGGAUUUGAAUCAGAAGUAUUGGUAUGAACUCACAGUUUUUGAUACACACACAAAAGGGCAGACAACCCGCAAGGCAAAUAUGCAAACUGAAGGCAUUGGAGCAUUUUGGGUUUUUGGUACCCUGAAUUUCUCAGAAUCAUCUUGAAUAUAGCCUGUCUGUAAAAGAAAGCCCACCCCCACUGCUCCUCGCUUCCCCGUUUCCAACAGUGACGCCCGUUUCCCGGUGGACUCCUUCACCAGUCCCCAGAUCCAAACCCUGCGUGCUGGCUGCACCAGCUCCUCCACCCUGUCUGCUCUGCUUGCCUGCCUAGAACAGGUCACCAGAAACGGCACCACCUCCCACAUACAGGAUGCAGCAGUCUCUGAUGAAGGCUCCAGCCCCACCCCCAGCAACGUGUCCAGCCUGUUACCCAGCCGCUAAAACCCCUGUGGUUUUGCUAAAACCCCUGUGGUUUUACGGAAGGAGCAAGCCCCUGGCUCACCCCCAGCAUCACCUCCAGCCCUCCUAGCUCUCCAAGAGGCAGCCAGCCUGGACCAGCUCCCUUCCUCCAAACAAGAUUCUUUCUUCCUUCACAUCAUCCACUGACAUUCCUUCUGCCUUCAAAAUAGGCCCCAAACCAACCAGUCGGCAAGAGAAUGUUUUUACUUAUAAGUACAGAAUCAGAAAACGCAGCACCUCUGCAAACCCUACUGAAUUCAGGGACCAGCAGCUGCAGCAAGACAGCCAGCCAGAGGUGCCUUCUGGUAGAGGACCAUACCCUCACCUGUGAGGUAUUUUUGAAAGAAAAAAAAAGCAGCACCUGAACCAGAUCAAGCCUCAAGCUCUGUCUACUAAUUUUCAGGAAACACAAAGGAUAGAGGAACAUGGUAAAUGACACCAGGAAGAUGCCAUCCGCAGACUCCAGGCUGUGGGGAGCUUGACAGGAUAAGCAGUCUAGGUUUUCCACCAUGUAACAGCAAGGGGUGGAGGAGGGGAGGAGAAAGCCACAGACUACAAGAGACUUAAGGCUGUGGUUGUUCGGGGCUGAGGGUGUCAAGGAGCAGCUAAGGGUCCUGGGUUUCUUUUGCCGGGCCCGGGGCGGGGGGAGGGGACAGAAAUGUCCAAAAUUAGAUUGUGGUAGUGGUUGCACAACCCUGUGAAUCUGCUAAAAAAAACACUGACUUACACAUUUUAAAUGAAUGAAUUGCAUAGUAGGUGAAUUAUACCUCAAGAAAACUUAUUUCUAAAAGAGAUUUAAUGCUGAUUGUACAUGACUAACGUAAUUGAUAUCACUAAAUUGUGUUGUUGUGUGCCAAGCUGAUUUCAACUCAGUGACCCCUAAACUGUACAAUGAAAAAUGUAAACACACACACGUGUGCAUAUAUAUACACAUUUUUUCUUUUUUAAGGGACAGACACAUCAACUAGUCACAAUGUGGACCUUACUUGGAUCUUGACUCAAGAGGGAUCCUUUUAUAAACACAGGUGGCUGAUAUUCCCUCCUCCACUCAACCCCCUCCUUUGCAUGGCCCACAAGGCGGUCAUGGCAUCCCUGUCCUCAUGCCUUUGUUCUUCCAAAUAUGCCCUAGACUCCCCCCUUCUCCUCUUCAAGUCCUUGCUCCAAUUCCACCUUCUUCAGGUGCCUUCACCAUCCACCCCGUUCAGCAGGGCAACAUGCCUUCCUCCCAGCCCUGUCCUCUGCCCCUGACCUGGUCUACAUGACCUUUACUCACGGAUCCCGCAUGUUUGAUAACUAAUUUAUUUGUGUACGUCUUGUUUUGAUUGCCCGUCUCCCCUCCGGUUCACUGCCUCAGUGCCCUCCACACAGGAGUAGCCCAACAGCUGUGCUUUGGCCAGUCCUCUUCCCCAGUCACGCCAGUGACAUCACACCCUGCGCAAUGCAAAGGGGGCUUCCUUCCUCAGCUAUCCCAGUUAUCUCAGCCAGGAGUGACCCGGCUCCAGGAACAAGCAGCAUUCCCCGCCUGCUGUCUGCUGAACUGUCCCUGUUCCUCCUCUCAACUGCAAGAGCCUGGAACGGUCACCCUGAGAUGCUCCGUAACUUUCCACAAGAGUGCCCUACACUCGGGGAGUCGCUGCGGUCAGGCUGACCAGCCAGCCACCCAGGAGCCCAGAUGCUGGGGUUCUCGCAUUCCCAAUUCCACCCUCCCUGGAUGGACUGUGGCUCGUUCAUUUGAGUGUUCACUGUCUGGCCGAUGAGUGAAACAAAUGUCAGCCUCACCCUCUUGCGGGGGCAACCAGAAGAAUGGGGGCAAGGCACUAGAGAACAGGUCUCAACACCCCCACUCCUGCCAACAGGCCCUCGUCCACUUCCCAGUUUCCAGCCUGGUGAGGAGUCCCCAAGAAUAUGGACCCCCAUGGGCUACUGACUGUCCAUCGCCCCCCGAAAGCUUUCAACGCCUAUAACACAACGUUCUCUGGUGCGGAGUAAACAACAGCGGCGGUGACAAUAAUCCCAGCAGCUGCAGAAAUGGUCAUCCCUCGGCACCUUCUGUGGGCAACCACGAUGGUAAGAAGUCUUUACUGCCUCGUCUGUCAACACACCUCUGCCAUGAGGUUUAUCCGUCUCUGGACUAUGGAAGAGACGGAGGUACAGAGGUUAUGUGAAAGAGGGACAUAGCCAGGACUCAGCAUGGUCGGCUGGACCUGGAGCCUGAGCUCUGAGCAUGGUGGUGGGGGGGGUGGAGGGUAGGCUGCGCUGUCACCUGGGACCCCCAUAUCCCAAGAGCUCCAUGCACCUUGACACCAACCCAAGGAUUUGUUCAAGGUCAUCCUUCCCACCACUCCCUGUGCCUUCCUCUGCUUUCUCCCCACUUCCCAGUGUCUGACUCUAUUCAUUCCUUUGUUCCUAAAAAAAAAAAAAAGGUAACCAAAAAAAAACACAACAGCACGACCUGCUAGUUCCAAGGCCCCGAAAUCACCACCUCUGGUGCCGAGGGAUCUCAUUCACACUCGCUGCUCACUUGCCCCACAUGGACAGACCACGCCCCAAUGGCAACGGUGUGAAGGCACCCUGAAAACUCGAGAGCCCCGCGAACCCAAGGCGCUGGUCGUUUUUGAGACUCAGGCCCCAAGCCACUUCCCAUCCACACAAGCUCCCUGUCACCUUCAGGUCCUGCUCAUAAGCCUGGUUGAGGCCAGGCUGUCCCAGGGGUUGACCAGCCACUUCCCACUCCUGGAGGCCUCCCACCACCUAAAACCAAGAGGGAAGGCAGUAAAGCCCCCAGAUCUGAGCCCUUACACCCAUAGCCUCAGCAAAUGCACUGCAUCCAAGCUUCCCCACCACACAAGUUUAACUACCCUGUGAAGACAGACUCCCAACGGUCACAUUAUUUUUAUAAGUAAAACCUAGCGAACUGUCUCAAAUGACUGACCUAUGAACCGUAUCGUUCUGACCUAUGAACCGUAUCGUUCUGACCUUCUUAUGUGCAACCGGGGAACAUCUAGUUGCCCUGCAAACACUAACUCUCCGAGAACUGGAACUUGGAGCGGAAACACCGGAAAUAACUGGGAAAACUACAAAAAUAUCACCCCUUGAGCCCUCACUCCUGUAGGACUCCCAAGAGGCGGGCUUCGACAACAGGGAAGGGGAGCCACUUAGGGACAGCCCGGCUCUUUGUAAGCUUUGCUAUAGUUUUGUUUCUUAGUUGCUAUUGGGUCUGAAAGAUGGAUACAGAAUAAUUUCCAGGGGAACUUACUGAAGCCGCUUCUGCCCCGGCUCUAAAUGAAGCCAGAAACAAAGCAACAUGAAACUAUCAACUGAAAGGAAACAAGGACGGUGAAGGGAAGAGUCGUGGUCCUCACAUAACCAGAUCUGUACCCUUUAUCAGAAAAGAGAACCACAGAUAAAUCUCUUCACAGUCCAUGCAAGGAGCCCUGGUGGCGCAACGGUUAAGUGCUUGACUGCUAACUGAAAGGUCAGUAGUUCGAACCCACCAGGCACUCCACGGGCACAAUACCUGGCCAUCUUGCUCCUGUAAAGAUUACAGCCUAGGGAGCCCUGUGGGCCAGUCCUACUCUGUUCUGUAGGGUCACUAUGAGUCAGAAUCGACUUGACAGCACACAACAAUAACAACCACCACAUAGUCUGUGGCAAAGUCCUCUCUGCUGGGACACCUGACACUCCCACCUCCUAGACACUUGUUCCUGGGGGUGGGGGACCUCCGUUCACCAGGGGCUUGCUUCAGGUUUCUGCCAGGACCUCCUCCCAUGCUCCCAUCCCUCAAACAGUGCUCCCUGGGGGUGGCCCCGGCCCAUUUCCUACCUCCUCUCCCCGCCCCCGCUCCCAACUCUCAGACCCACCUCACAGAGCUCCACCUGGGACAUCUGCAACUUCCCAGACCCAGAUCUCAUGGCCCGCCCGCUGCCCCAGGCCUUCCAGGAGGAGCUUGUGAGCAGCUGCAGGGAGGAAGGCCUGAGCCUUGCUCCCCUAGGUUCAUCCACCCCCGUCUCUGCGCCCACUCAUGAGCCCCAGCUGUAUGCAGGCCCUGACCCUACAUCCCACUGGCCCCAAAGCCCUGGUCCUCCCACCACGCCACCAGGCCUUUCUGACCCCCAUUGCUGACCCUACCUCAGCCUAGAGUUCAGUCUGAACUCAACCGCUGGCAUCUCCAGAUACCCCAAACUCACAUGCCCCAACACCAUCUGUGCACCCCUCCCCAGGGCCAGCUCUGCCAUCUCUGCCCCUCAGCCCUAUUAACCGUGUGACCAGUGGCUGAGGUUCAGGGACACCUUCAGUCUCCUCCUCCUCCAGUGUCCUACCUAUUUCCUUACUCAAAGAUUCACCCAACAAGACGCGGAGACAAGGACACUCAUUCUCCCAGCCAGCGUUCAUGGUCUCUCCUCGCGCUGGAUGCUUCGCCAAGGGUUUCAUUCACGCUUUACGCAGCCUUACGCACUGAGGUAGGUAGGAUGCAACCAAUGAACAGAUCCACGCCCACCUCCAGGUGAGGAGUGUCCCAGGCCCAGACAGAUAGUUACCUCACUACCCUUCACAACAAGCCUCGGGAGGGAGGUGCUAUUAUCACUCCUUCUCCAAGUCUGAGCUUUAGAGAAGCCAGGUAACUCACCAAAAGGCACAGAGCUGAUAAGAAGUGGUCUGGGGCCCAGAUACCUAGGUGUCGCCUGCUAGUAAGUAGAACCUACUUAGUAAAUACAGAAGACUAGACUCACUCCUCCAGCUAACCAACCACCUCCUCCUGUACCCACGUACCAGAGGGCAUUGGGACGCUGAGACGAAGGUUCAGUGGGGUCCUGUCUGUCUCUGCUCCCACAACCAUCCACCCGGUGGAGGGGGGGCAGAGGGAGUCCCUGGUCCUGAUGUCCGCUACAAUUUCUCCACCCCACACUGCUGCCGAGGGCCUCUCUCUCCCUGCAGGGCUACGGGGUCACCUUUCCAGAACAGAGCUUAUCUGUAGAGCGCAAAGCGCUUAGCAAUGCACGUGGGCUCUUUCUCAGAAGUACCCACACCUUUCCUGCCUGCACUCGGACCUCUGGGGUUCACGGAGGCUUCCCCAUUGCCCAUUACGAAACGGACAGUGUAGGGGCUGGUGGACAUCCUUCCCAUCCACGGCCCUGGGGUGACCCUGAGGAACGUGAGAAGAUAAAAAGACCAGCUUCAAGUUUGUUUGUUUUUAAUUGUUUUUUAUUGCACUUUAGAUGAAGGUUUACAGAGCAAACUAGUUUCUCAUUAAACAAUUAAUACACAUAUUAUUUUGUAACACUGGUUGCCAACUCCACAACAUGUCAACACUCCCCUCUUCUCAACCUUGGGUUCCCCAUUACCAGCUUUCCUGUCUGUCCCUUCCUGCCUUCUCGUCUUUGCCCCUGGGCUGGUGUGCCCCUUUAGUCUCGUUUUGUUUCACAAACCUGUCUAAUCUUUGGCUGAAGGGUGAUCCUCAGGAGUGACUUCAGUACUGAGUUAACAGGGUGUCCAGGGGCCAUACUCUCGGGUUUUCUCCAGUCUCUGUCAGACCAGUAAGUCUAGUCUUUUUUUGUGCGUGUGAGUUAGAAUUUUGUUCUACAUUUUUCUCCAGCUCUGUCCAGGACCCUCUAUUAUGAUCCCUGUCAGAGCAGUCAGUGGUGGUAGCUGGGCACCAUCUCAUUGUACUGGACUCAGUUUGGUGGAGGCCAUGGUAGAUGUGGUCCAUUAGUCCUUUGGACUAGUCUUUCCCUUACAUUUUCAGUUUCCUUCAUUCUUCCUUGCUCCUGAAGAGGUGAGACCAGUGGAGCGUCCUAGAUGGCCACUCACAAGCUUUUAAGACCCCAGACGCUACUCACCAAAGUAGAAUGCAGAACAUAUUCUUUAUAAACUAUGUUAUGCCAAUUGAGC